CUUGUGGAUCGGAGUGAAAGGCUAAUCAAGCUCGGAGAUAGCUGGUUCUCCUCGAAAGCUAUUUAGGUAGCGCCUCAUGUAUCACUCUGGGGGGUAGAGCACUGUUUCGGCUAGGGGGUCAUCCCGACUUACCAAACCGAUGCAAACUCCGAAUACCCAGAAGUGCCGAGCAUGGGAGACACACGGCGGGUGCUAACGUCCGUCGUGAAAAGGGAAACAACCCAGACCGUCAGCUAAGGUCCCAAAGUCCUGGUUAAGUGGUAAACGAUGUGGGAAGGCUUAGACAGCUAGGAGGUUGGCUUAGAAGCAGCCACCCUUUAAAGAAAGCGUAAUAGCUCACUAGUCGAGUCGGCCUGCGCGGAAGAUGUAACGGGGCUCAAACCAGGCACCGAAGCUACGGGUAUCACCUUUGGUGAUGCGGUAGAGGAGCGUUCUGUAAGCCUGUGAAGGUGAGUUGAGAAGCUUGCUGGAGGUAUCAGAAGUGCGAAUGCUGACAUGAGUAACGACAAUGCGAGUGAAAAACUCGCACGCCGAAAGACCAAGGGUUCCUGCGCAACGUUAAUCGACGCAGGGUGAGUCGGUCCCUAAGGCGAGGCUGAAAGGCGUAGUCGAUGGGAAACGGGUUAAUAUUCCCGUACUUCUAGUUACUGCGAUGGGGGGACGGAGAAGGCUAGGCCAGCUUGGCGUUGGUUGUCCAAGUUUAAGGUGGUAGGCUGAUCGUUUAGGUAAAUCCGGACGGUCAAGGCCGAGAGCUGAUGACGACCCUUCUUUUAGAAGGGGAAGUGGUUGAUGCCAUGCUUCCAGGAAAAGCCUCUAAGCUUCAGGUAACUAGGAACCGUACCCCAAACCGACACAGGUGGUCGGGUAGAGAAUACCAAGGCGCUUGAGAGAACUCGGGUGAAGGAACUAGGCAAAAUGGCACCGUAACUUCGGGAGAAGGUGCGCCGGUGAGGGUGAAGGGUUUACCCCGUAAGCUCAUGCCGGUCGAARAUACCAGGCCGCUGCGACUGUUUAUUAAAAACACAGCACUCUGCAAACACGAAAGUGGACGUAUAGGGUGUGACGCCUGCCCGGUGCCGGAAGGUUAAUUGAUGGGGUUAGCGCAAGCGAAGCUCUUGAUCGAAGCCCCGGUAAACGGCGGCCGUAACAAUAACGGUCCUAAGGUAGCGAAAUUCCUUGUCGGGUAAGUUCCGACCUGCACGAAUGGCGUAACGAUGGCGGCGCUGUCUCCACCCGAGACUCAGUGAAAUUGAAAUCGCU
rnacentral:rRNA from 1 species